rnacentral:rRNA from 1 species
UACGUAGGGUGCAAGCGUUAAUCGGAAUUACUGGGCGUAAAGCGUGCGCAGGCGGUUAUUUAAGACAGAUGUGAAAUCCCCGGGCUCAACCUGGGACCUGCAUUUGUGACUGUAUAGCUAGAGUACGGUAGAGGGGGAUGGAAUUCCGCGUGUAGCAGUGAAAUGCGUAGAUAUUGGGAGGAACACCAGUGGCGAAGGCGGCUCUCUGGGACGGUACUGACGCUGAGACGCGAAAGCGUGGGGAGCGAACAGG